CUUCAUCUAGAACCAGCCGGUUCUUUCCUGUAGCCACUGUCCUCUUCGGGCAACUCCAUCUCUUAAAGUCCCUGCAGUCUGCCCGCCGCCUGUCCCUGCCAACUGGUCUGCAAACGUCACAGAGCACCGUCCCAAAUGUGCAUCUGCCCCUUGCUGAAAACCCUCUUUGGCUCCCUGGUGCUGUCCGAAUGGUUUCAGAGCCGGUGUGGUUUGAGCAUGCUCCAGACCUUCUCACCUGGCCCGUGUGGCUGAAGCUGCCUAGUGAUUCCUUUCCUGCCAAGAGAUGCUGGAGGGCCGAAGAUGAAUCAAGUCAGCGAAAGUUCCACGGUCAAGUUGGAUGACUCGGUUAAGAGACAUGGCACGCACCUGAGGAAGCAAGCCGGGGUCCGGGAGGCAGUUCUCUGAGUCUGCAAAGCCCAGUGUUGAUGUGGAACUCGGGAGAUUCGAAGUUGCAAUAGCCUGCACCUGUAACUGUGAGAGCCCACGGAAGGAAAAAAUAAACCUUGAGGCAGUCUCAGGUACCCCAGGCUGACAACAAGCUUGCUGUGUAACGGGGGAUGGGCUAGGAAUCUGACCCCCUGUUUCCUCCUCCCAGGCCUGGGACUACAGGGUAAAGUGAGGAGCCCUCCAGGAUUGAUGGAACAUCACAUGUAUGAUGCAACCCUUUCCAAAUUACCUUGGUUAAAGGAAAUAAGCUUAAUACAGAAGAAACUGUGAAAGUUCAUGUCCGAGCUGGGCUUUUUCACGGAACCGAGCUCCUGUGUAAAACCGUCGUAAGCUCAGAGAUAUCAGNNNNNNNNNNNNNNNNNNNNNNNNNNNNNNNNNNNNNNNNNNNNNNNNNNNNNNNNNNNUGCUGUUUAUGCAGUUUUGGAUAAAGUAAAAACGAAGAAAUCAACAAAGACUAUUAAUCCCUCUAAGUAUCAGACCAUCAGGAAAGCCGGGAAAGUGCAUUAUCCUGUCGCAUGGGUAAAUACCAUGGUUUUUGACUUCAAAGGACAGCUGAGGUCUGGAGACGUCAUAUUGCAUAGCUGGUCUUCGUUUCCUGACGAGCUGGAAGAAAUGCUGAAUCCCAUGGGGACUGUGCAGACGAACCCAUAUGCCGAGAACGCCACCGCCUUGCACAUUACGUUCCCAGAGAAUAAGAAGCAGCCGUGUUAGCAUCCUUGUCAGGAUGCUGCACUGAUGAACCCAGAUAAAGGGAAGGUGAGUUCAAGAGUCUGGGAGGUUUUUUAGUUUGGCUGCCUGGUCUGUCCUGGGAUUCCAUGGUCCAAUCUGACCCAAUUCACCUACUUCUCCAAGAGCUCAGAAUGGCCAUCCAAAUCUCCCACUGCCAUGUCUCACUGGUCUUUUAUACCCUCUCCUGACCACACUCCAUAACAUUUUUUUUUUUUUUUGGAUAGUGUUUCUCUGUGUAGCCCUGGUUGUCCUGAGACUCACUCUGUAGAUCAGACUGGCCACCGAAUUGCUGGGAUUAAAGGUGUGUGCCACCACCGCCUGGCCUGACGUCUUGUGCUGCCCAUACAGACCCCGCCCCCUGCACUCAAGCUCCUCCCCAUACUUCCUCUGGGCACCAUCACUGCUGGGCUUAACUACCACUUAGUCAAACCCACAUGGCCUGUGCUUUUUACCACUGAGGGAGGCUGCCUUCUCAGAAGGCCCACUUGCCCUUAGUGCUGACCAUUUACAGGCAGGUCAUGGACUCCGGGAAGGGAGAAAACCAUCUGAUUUUGUAUUUCCAGGCCCUGUAGGUCUGGCUUAUGGACAAGCAGUGUGAACUCUAGGGACAGAUCCCAACAGACGCCUGCAUAGCUCCCAGGUUGGCCCAUGCACUAAGGAGGCCAGGAUCCACCUUGCCACACGUGCCACCCCUCAGCACCAUCUCAGGCACCUCCUGAGCUAUGACAAUUAGUGCGAGAAUGACUGGGGCAUGGUAUUCCAGUGGCAUACCCCUGGUUUCCGGUGCAGAUUUUACGGUGACAAGAGGAUCAUGACAAGACCGACAGGCACCAGAACCCCCUCUGCUCAUGAAGAACUCACAGGCGACACGGCUUCCAAAUGGCCUCACUUCUCCUCAGCUUGACCACAGCUUCUCAAGAGAACCCCAGAACCCCAGACUCUUGGGGACUUGCCUUCAUUCUGCUGGGUGAAUAUUCCUUUGGGAAAUAUUGCUUCUCACCACAGGGAAAACAGCAGGACAGAUGACACACCAGGAAAUGCCAUUUAGAUUCAAGCGCGGUGAAAUUUUGUCAAGCAAAAAUAGUCUUUAUUCAAAUUUAAUGGAAACAGGGGUCACUAUACUUUGCAAGACGGGGAAAAAUAAAAUUAAAAAAAAUCUUUCCUUUUAAUAUAAAACAAUAUAAUCACAAUACCAGAAUGUGGAGCUCCUACAGUGUUACUUCCUAGGGGCUACGCAGGGAUCCGUUUCUCUCCACUGUGCUAUUCACAACGUUGGUAAGUCCAGAAACAGGAAACCGAAGUGGUGGGAGACUGAAGACUUGCACUUUCACUACGUGGCACACAUCAAAGGGCAUCGAUUCAAGGGCAGACGGCUGAGCUCAGCACACCUACCUACGCCAUCACUCCAGCCUGAGAAGCCAGCCGUCUGGGUGCCGAGCUCCCUAUAGCCGUGGCCAGGCCUGAAAGGCAGGCGUCUGGGUGUCCUACUGUGAGUAAGGGGAGGUCUGAGGAGCUGCUUUCAGUAGAGCGGGAAGGCCUGGCGCCUGGAGGCUGACCGAGGAAGCACUGAGAUUGAACAACUGAGACACACCUUUAGGGAGUUAAUGUACAGCAGUGACGGGUGUUCUACUUCACUCUUGUGCUACGGCUACCAACAUGUACAAAACACUUCUCGGCAGUUCCAGCGUGGCAGAGCCAGUUAGGACCUUGAGUGGGACCUGGAUCUAGACCGGGAGGGCGACCUGGAAGCAGACCUGGAUGGAGACUUGGACCGAGAGCGUGUUUUUGAAGCCGAUUUUGACCUGGAGCGCGACUCUGCCGGGACAUUGGGUUUGGAUUUGGAGGUGGAUCUUGACCUGGCCCGGGGCUCUGGAUUGGGGGCCUCGCUCUCACCCUCUGCCCGGCUUUCCCUCUGGCCAGACUCUGCCUUGGCAUGUUCGCGCUCCUUUGACACCGAGCGGGACGGUGACCGGGAGUGGUCGGUGUCCUUCUUCUUCUUGCUGCUGCUGCUACUGACUUUGCUGUCCCGCUUGCUGCUGUGUUUUCGGCUGCGCUCGCUCUUGCUGCGGCUGCGGCUUCGACUUUCGUCCCUGCUUCUCUUCCUUCCCUUCCGCUUGUCCUUGCUGCGGCUGCGGCUCCGGCUGCCCACCUUGCUCCGGCUGCGGCUGCGGCUCUUGAGAAGGCUCUUCUCCUGGCUGCGGCUCUUCUCCUGGCUGCGAGCCCUGCUCACGCUCCUUCGCCUCUCCUCCUCUGCUCUCCUCUCCUGGCUCCUGCUCCGACUUUUACUGUCAUGGCGGCUGGGGCUGUGGCUCUUGGCUUUGCCGGCGCUGUCGUUGUUUUGGAGCUUGUCCUCGGCGUGGUCUUUACUCUUACUGCGGCUCUUGUCAGGGCUGCGGCUGCGACUGCGGCUCUUGUUGUCUUUGCUGGGGCUCCGGCUUUUCUCCUUCUUACUGCGGCUGCGGCUCUGACUGCGACUGCGGCUCUUGCUGCGGGAGUGGGAACCUGACCUGGAAGACAGAGGAGCCGGGUGAGUAAUGGGUGACUAGCCACUUUCUGUCAGGAACUGGAGAGAGCACGGGCAUGCGUGUGGGGCGUGGGAGCAGGGGAGCUGCAGGCCCACCUGGAUCGAGACCGGCUCUUCGAAUGGCUGCUUUUACUGCUACCACUCCGGCUUCUGCUCUUCCGGGAAUGUCUGCUUCGAGAGCGAGACCUGUGGUGCAGAAAAACAAAAAACAACAUAGUUUUUGAGACAAGGUGCCAGUAACCUUGGCUAGCCCGGAACUUGCUAGGUAGAGCAGGCUGGCCUGAACUCACAGAAAUUCACCUGCUUCGACUUCUUGAGCCCUGGGAUUAAAGGCGUUAGAAAAAAAGACAAUUUAAAUUGCCUGUAAGGGGUUUGACAUUUGCUCAGUGGUUUUUGGAGAGGACCAGGGUUCAAUCCCAGCACCUACAUGGUGGCUCACAAUCAUCUGUAACUCUAGUUCCAGGGAUCCAACACCCUCCUGAGCUCAGCAGAUACUAGGCAUGCCCGUGAUAUGGAGACCACUUGCUGAUCCUGCAGAGGACUCAGGUUUGAUGCCCAGCACCAACAUGGUGUUUCAUAGCUGUAACUCCAGUCUCAGGGGAACGGAUACAUCAUCUAGCCUUGGCAGGUAGCAGGUACACACAUAAUACAGACACACAUGCAGGCCAAACACCCCAACCCCAAAUUUUAAUUAUAUAAAAGAUUGUCUAAUUAUAUUAAAAAAGGCUAUCUAGAGUCAACCAAGACAUUCAUUCCUUCAAUGAACAAAC
ensembl:processed_transcript Gm12992 predicted gene 12992